GAUGAACGCUAGCGAUAGGCUUAACACAUGCAAGUCGAGGGGCAGCACUUAGGGUGGCGACCGGCGCACGGGUGAGUAACGCGUAUGCGACCUACCUUUAACUGUGGGAUAGGCUCUCGAAAGAGAGAUUAAUACCGCAUGGUACUAUUGGACUGCAUGGUUCGGUAGUUAAAGAUUUAUUGGUUAGAGAUGGGCAUGCGUAACAUUAGCUUGUUGGUGAGGUAACGGCUCACCAAGGCUACGAUGUUUAGGGGAACUGAGAGGUUUGUCCCCCACACUGGUACUGAGACACGGACCAGACUCCUACGGGAGGCAGCAGUGAGGAAUAUUGGUCAAUGGGCGGAAGCCUGAACCAGCCAAAUCGCGUGAAGGACGAAGGUAUUAUGUAUUGUAAACUUCUUUUGCAGGGGAAUAAAAAGGCGGAUGCGUCCGCUAUUGCAUGUACCUUGCGAAUAAGGAUCGGCUAACUCCGUGCCAGCAGCCGCCGUAAAAC
rnacentral:rRNA from 1 species